UACGAAGGGGGCUAGCGUUGCUCGGAAUCACUGGGCGUAAAGGGUGCGUAGGCGGGUCUUUAAGUCAGGGGUGAAAUCCCGAGGCUCAACCUCGGAACUGCCUUUGAUACUGGGGAUCUGGAGUCCGGGAGAGGUGAGCGGAACUGCGAGUGUAGAGGUGAAAUUCGUAGAUAUUCGCAAGAACACCAGUGGCGAAGGCGGCUCACUGGCCCGGAACUGACGCUGAGGUGCGAAAGCGUGGGGAGCAAACAGG
rnacentral:rRNA from 1 species